CAAUAGCGUAUAUUAAAGUUGUUGCGGUUAAAAAGCUCGUAGUUGGAUUUCUGCUGAGAACGACCGGUCCGCCCUUUGGGUGUGUAUCUGGCUCUUUCUUGGCAUCUUCUUGGUGAACGUUGCUGCACUUGACUGUGUGGAGCGCUACCCAGGACUUUUACUUUGAGGAAAUUAGGGUGUUUCAAGCAGGCAUACGCCUUGAAUACAUUAGCAUGGAAUAAUAAGAUAGGACCUCGGUUCUAUUUUGUUGGUUUCUAGAGCUGAGGUAAUGAUUAAUAGGGAUAGUUGGGGGCAUUCGUAUUUAACUGUCAGAGGUGAAAUUCUUGGAUUUGUUAAAGACGGACUACUGCGAAAACAUUUGCCAAGGAUGUUUUCAUUGA
rnacentral:rRNA from 1 species